UUUUUGAAUUAAAAAGCUCAAAUAUUUUUAAAAGACGAGAAGACCCUAUAGAGUUUAAUAUUAAAAUAAGUGUAAAUUUAUAGGAUUUUAUUUGAGCAUUUAUUUUAAUAUUUUAUUGGGGUGAUGAAAAAAUUAAUGUAACUUUUUUUAUAUUUUACCAUUGAUAUAUGANUAAUUGAUCCAUAUUUUAUGAUUAUAAGAUUAAAUUACCUUAGGGAUAACAGCGUAAUCUUAUUUAAGAGUUCUUAUCGAAAAUAAGGGUUGCGACCNCNAUGUUGGAUUAAAAUUAACUUUUGGUGUAGUAGCUAGAAUGUUAGGUCUGUUCGACCUUUAAAAUUUUACA
rnacentral:rRNA from 1 species